AAUGCCAUUCUACAGAUACUGUGAAGAAUACGCUUGAUCCAAAGUGGAAUCAGCAUUAUGACCUGUAUAUUGGAAAGUCUGAUUCAGUUACGAUCAGUGUAUGGAAUCACAAGAAGAUCCAUAAGAAACAAGGUGCUGGAUUUCUCGGUUGUGUUCGUCUUCUUUCCAAUGCCAUCAACCGCCUCAAAGACACUGGUUGUGAGUAGAUACGAGUGCUUUUCCAAUUAAAAAACAUAUAUGUGUGUGUGUGUAUAUGUAUUUGUGCAUAUACAUAUAUACAUGCACUAUAUAUGUAUCCUCAAAUAUAUAUUUAAAAAUAAUAUAUAUAUUUGAGUAUGUUGGUAGGGCUUCAAACACAACUUCUUGUGCAUGUCUGAAACAUUGGUAAAAAUUCCUGAUCUAAAUUUAUUUUGUAGACUUAAAAAAAAAAGAAACAUUUUAAAUAUGUGAAACUUACAGCCAAAUCAGGGCUGAUGCUUCAUUUCCAGCUAAUUUAAAAGUAUUAAGAAAUGAUUGAUAUCCAGAAUGGCAAAAAUAAAGGUAUCAGGAUGUAUAUGCCUUUUAAAAUUUCUUAGUAUCCUUUUCUGGUUUUGGUGGAUUUGUGGAUGAAAUGCUUUUAUUUA
rnacentral:lncRNA from 1 species